rnacentral:lncRNA from 10 species
CUUUCUUUCUUUUUCUUUCUUCUUCUUUCUUUUUCUUUUUUUCUUUUUUUUGUUUUGACAGAGUCCAACUCUGUGCGGGCAUUACAGGCGUGAGCCACCACCCCCAGCCUGCAUUUCUAAAAGCUAUACAAGAUGAUCCUGACAUGCAACCAAAGAACUGGUAUUAACAGGUUACCCACAUAUUUUUUGUCAUUGCAGAAAAGACAAGACUCUAAGUAUUAUGAAUGCAAAAUCUUAUAUGAAUUAUUAAAGAGAUUCUUACUGUGGAUUUGAGAAAGGAAAUGUACAAGGGCUACAUGGAAGCCAUCAAAAGCUACUGUGGUAUGUAAAAAAAAAUAGCAAAUUACCCAAAGAAAUUGGAAAUUUAUGUACACAUAAAAAUGGGUACACAGCUAUUGAUAGCUGCAUUUUUUUCAGUGGCCCAAACUUGGAAGCAACCAAAAUAUCCAUCAGUAUGUAAAUAGAUAAACAAACUGGGGUCUAUCCAGACAAUGGAAUAUCAUUCAGCACUAGAAACAAAUGAGCUAUCACGCUGUGAUGGUUAAUUUUCAGUGUCAACUUGACUGGAUAAAGUUAAUCUAGACAGCUGGUAAAGCACUAUUUCUGGGUGUGUCUGUGAGGAUGUUUCUGGAGAAAAUUGGCAUGUGAGUCCUUGAACAGAGUGGGGAAGAGCCUCCCUCAAUGUGGGUGGGCACCGUCCACUUUACUGGGGACUCAGAUAGAAUAAAAUGAUAGAGGGAAGGCAAUUUCACUCUUUCAUUUUUGGAGCCAGAGCACCCUUCUUUUCCUGGCCCUGGACCCCAGAACUCCAGCCUUCCCUGGCCUUUGGACUCCAAGACUUGCACCAGCAGCCCCCACGUUCUCAGGCCUUCUGCCUCAGACUGAGAGUCACACUCUCAUCCUCCCUGGUUCGGAGGCUUUUAGACUUGGACUGAGCCACACUGUUGACAUUCCUGGUUGUCCCACUUGCAGGUGGCCUAUCAUGCCACUUCUCAGCCUCCAUACUCACAUGAGCCAAUUCCCCAAAUAAAUCCCCUGUUUUCUAUCUAUUCAUUUAUCCAUCCGUCUGUCAACCUUCUAUCUAUCUAUCUAUCUAUCUAUCUAUCUAUCUAUCUAUCUCUAGAGAUAGGAAUCUAGGAAUUCUGUCUGUAGAAAUCCCUCACUAAUACACAUGCUGUGAAAAUACAUAGAGGAAACUUAAAUGUAUAUUACCGCGUGAAAGAAGCCUAUCUGAAAAGUCUACACACUGCAUGAUUCCAACUAUGUGACAUUCUAGAAAAGCCAAAACUAUGCAGACAGUGAAAAGAUUUGUGGUGGACAGGGGUUAGAGGGGAGAAAGAUGGACAGGCAGAGCACAGUGGAUUUUUAGGACAGUGAAACCACUCUGUAUACUAUAAUGUGAUCUACGUCAUUACACAUUCGUCCAAACCCACAGAAUGUAAAACAUCAAGAGUGAAGCCUCAUGUAAACUAUGUAUUUUGGGUGAUAAUGAUGUGUCCAUGUAGGUUUAUUGAUUAUAACAAAUGCACCACUGCUGUGUGGAAUGUUGAUAGCAGCGGAGGCUGCACAUGGGUGGGGACAGAGGGUUAUGGGAACUCUGUACUUUCUGCUCAAAUUUGCCGCAAACCUAAACAAAGAAUUGUAUAUUAAUUUUUUAAAAAUGUAUAGCAGAAAACUUGAAGAUAUUCACUCUGACUAAAGGGAG